CUUUUAUAAAUAAUUCCAACCUGUGACCUUUUUCAUUUCUCUGUCCUAAUCCAAUUUAUUAUAAUUUGACAUUGAAAUCGCCCAUUACAAUGUUUAUUUCAUGUUUGGGGAGUCUUUCUAUUAACUCUUCGAUUUCAUCAUUACUCUGUCGGGUACUAGUGUAAAUUGGUCACACAUUUAUUUAUAUUUCUUGUUGUUAUCACCCAGACUCCACGUUCCAGUUUCCUAUCUAAUGAGCCUGAAUAAAAUACCAAUCUGUAUUCAUCUUAAUCUAUACAUCCUAUUUAUGUCCAUCUCAUCUCACUAAUACCGAUUACGUCAAUGUUCAUUCUCUUCGUUGUUUAUUUUCUCUCCUCUUGCUAUGGUUUUCACAUUCCAAGUGUAUAUUUAUAUGGAUGUUGUAUUGUUUCUUUCCUACGGACGCUAACAAAAUUCCCCCCCCCCCCCUCGGAGAUCCGACUGAGAGACCUACUUCAGUUAUAUAUGUAAACAUUGAAAUACCAUUAUUUUUAAGAUUUUUGUCAAAAUUUGAACUUAAAAUAAAUGGUUGCAGUCACUGUUAUAAAGAAAGUUUUAU